GACGAACGCUGGCGGCGUGCUUAACACAUGCAAGUCGAACGGAAAGGCCCUGCUUUUGUGGGGUGCUCGAGUGGCGAACGGGUGAGUAACACGGGAGUAACCUGCCCUUGACUUUGGGAUAACUUCAGGAAACUGGGGCUAAUAACGGAUAGGAGCUCCUGCUGCAUGGUGGGGGUUGGAAAGUUUCGGCGGUUGGGGAUGGACUCGCGGCUUAUCAGCUUGUUGGUGGGGUAGUGGCUUACCAAGGCUUUGACGGGUAGCCGGCCUGAGAGGGUGACCGGCCCCAUUGGGACUGAGAUACGGCCCAGACUCCUACGGGAGGCAGCAGUGGGGAAUAUUGCACAAUGGGCGGAAGCCUGAUGCAGCAACGCCGCGUGCGGGAUGACGGCCUUCGGGUUGUAAACCGCUUUCGCCUGUGACGAAGCGUGAGUGACGGUAAUGGGUAAAGAAGCACCGGCUAACUACGUG
rnacentral:rRNA from 1 species